rnacentral:ncRNA from 1 species
GUAAACCAGGCGAAAGCUUGGGACACAAAGCUAUAGGGUCUUACCAUUUUCAUGGAUGACAGCCAGUUGCC